rnacentral:rRNA from 1 species
GUUAGGAAUAUUGGACAAUGGGCGCAAGCCUGAUCCAGCCAUGCCGCGUGAGUGAUGAAGGCCUUCGGGUUGUAAAGCUCUUUAGCCGAUGAUUAUAAUGACUGUAGUCGGAAAAUAAGCCCCGGCUAACUUCGUGCCAGCAGCCGAGGUAAUACGAAGGGGGCGCGCGUUAUUCGGAAUCACUGGGCGUAAAGCGUGCGUAGGCGGCUGUGCAAGUUGGGAGUGAAAGCCCAGGGCUCAACCCUGGAAUUGAUCUCAAAACUGCAAGGCUCGAAUUCGGGAGAGGAUAGCGGAAUUGUCAGUGUAGCAGUGAAAUGCGUAGAUAUUGACAGGAACACCAGUAGCGUAAGCGGCUAUCUGGACCGAUAUUGACGCUGAGGCACGAAAGCGUGGGGAUCAAACAGGAUUAGAAACCCCAGUAGUCC